AACGAACGCUGGCGGCAGGCCUAACACAUGCAAGUCGAGCGAGACCUUCGGGUCUAGCGGCGGACGGGUGAGUAACGCGUGGGAACGUGCCCUUUGGUACGGAAUAGCCCCGGGAAACUGGGAGUAAUACCGUAUAAGCUCUUCGGAGGAAAGAUUUAUCGCCAAAGGAUCGGCCCGCGUUGGAUUAGGUAGUUGGUGGGGUAAUGGCCUACCAAGCCGACGAUCCAUAGCUGGUUUGAGAGGAUGAUCAGCCACACUGGGACUGAGACACGGCCCAGACUCCUACGGGAGGCAGCAGUGGGGAAUCUUAGACAAUGGGCGCAAGCCUGAUCUAGCCAUGCCGCGUGAGCGAUGAAGGCCUUAGGGUUGUAAAGCUCUUUCAGUGGGGAAGAUAAUGACUGUACCCACAGAAGAAGCCCCGGCUAACUCCGUGCCAGCAGCCGCAGUAAUAC
rnacentral:rRNA from 1 species